CUCGCGUGUCCGUCAGGGCGGCGCAGCUGGACGGGUAGCUCGCUCCCCCGGCGCGGCUGGACGGCGCGCACCGGCCCGGUGUGGGGGGGGUCGGGAGGUGAUACUCCCCUGGGAUGAGGUCGGGAGUGCAGAGAGCUGGAGGAGAGGGCGGUGUCCCGCGCCGCGUUAGACGGAGGCAGAGACCGGCGGGACCCACUGCAGCUGCAGCAGAGGGGAAGGCGUGCUCAGGGUCACUUUCCCCCACAUCAUAUCUACAUGAGCACCCCCCCACCAGCAGCUCCAGCUGGCCCCACACCACCUGAAAUGGGAGCAGAGGGACAGCGCUCGUCUCACCCCAAAUGCCUCUCUGGUCCGGGUCCCGCUGGCCCAGCAGCACACUCAAUCUUGGAUUCACAGCCCGUGCUGUCCAGCCCCAGACAAAUGACAUGUUUGUUGGCACAACGUCAGGGCCAGCCAGAAUUAUGCUGCAGAACGCGAGGGCGGAAAAAGAAGAAAGGCUCCGUGGAGCCGCAUAUCCUCUCCAUUUGAAAGGCAACAUCUGAGCAUCGGGAG
ensembl:lncRNA